UACUAAAACUGUUAAAAGUCUCACAUUCAAAUUUUUGCGAUCCAUGGUUUAAAGGUUUUUGUUAUGAUAAAAUAUAAAUGAUUACAAAAUCAUAUAACUAAGAAGUCUCAUUUAAUAAAUAUUAAGUGCAAAAGAUAUAUAUAUAUAUAUAUAUAAAUUAAACUAUAUACCAUCUAAAAUAUAUAAAUACUUUAAUUUCAAAAUUUUCUUUGAAUACAUAUUUUGGUAAAACUUAUUGAAUAAAUAUUGACAACUUAAUAUUUAAAUUUUAAACUUAGCUUUGAAUUUUUUUUAAAAAAUUACAAAAACUAUUAAUCACACAAUGAAAAUUUUGUUAUCACUUAUCUAAAGUUUUUGUUAUAAAAAAAUACAAAUGGUAAAAUAACCAUAUUAUAUAUAUGUUAACGUCAUUUAAAUUUAAUUAUAUACAAUUGAAAAUAUAAAAAGUAAUUGUUUGGAUUAAUGAAACUUAUUUAUGUGUUCGCAUCAAUUUAAUUAUAUAUGUAAUAAUUACUGAAUUUUUAAUUAUUCAAUAUUUUUUUUUAUAAAUAUGUAAAAGAACAUAUAAUACAUAAAAAUAGUAUAUAUAAUGUUCGUCCCGUGCCCUAACCUAGUAUAUAGUUAUUUUUCAAAACAAAAUUAAGCAUGAGUGCAUGACUAAUGUAUGUAUGUAUGUAUACACUAUCUAGAAACCGACUGUGUAAAAACGGAUUAUGACGCCAUUUCCCCUAAAGGCUUCAUUACCAGUCAAAUAGUUUUGUUUUUGAAAAAAGUCAGUCAAAUAGUUUACUAAAUAAUUUCCUUAAUUGUCAUCCUUAAAUAUCUGUAGUGACACGUGAGUUUGAUAAAACUGUGGACUUUGGUUAACGGUAGAAAGAGAUAAAAAGAGAGGAGGGGUCGAGAAUAGAAGAGAAAAAAAGUUGGGUGUGUAACGAACGUAAUAACAGAACGUAGUAAGUUGAGAAAAAAGGUUAAGGGCACUAAUAAACUAUUAAAAAAAAUAUUUUCGCAUAUUUUACUUUCUUUUUAUUUGAUUUCUAUAUAUAUACAUAUAUAUAAAUAUGUCAUUUCUUCUUUUUUUUCCAUUACAUUAUGUAUGUAAUACAAGAAAAUAUUUGUCUUAGAGGUUUUUUUAAACUUUUUGCGACCUCUUAAAAUCUGAAUGGCUGUUAUAGCAGAUUUUGGUUUCAAUUCAUCUUGUAACCGAACCUUCAUUUUUCUCGAAAUAAUGAUAUUUACAAUUUAACAAAAAAAAAUAUAUUUCAUUUCUUCUUCUUCUUCUUCCAUUACAUUAUGUAUAUAUGUAAUAAAAAAGAAAACAAAAUAUAUAAAAAUGUUAGAAAGUCUCGUGUUUGUGACAGCUAUAUUUCCUUUGUCUUCUCUCCAAAGGAUACUAGAUUAACACCAUAUCCACGUGUUUUCUUCGUCGUGUGAGGCAUCUCGUCGAUCGGGUUUCUCGCUGUCCAUCGUGCAGAAGGUGCGGCGAGGUCUCUCCUUAAUGGCGAGUUUGUGAAACUCCCGGUUUCGUCGGCUCCAGCGGUCUCUUGUGUUGGCGCGUGUGCGUAUGCGGCUUGGCUUUUGAGUCGGAGUCGUCUAUGGCUUUCGGCUAUAUCCUAGUUUGUGGCACUUCCUUUGUGUCCUCUUCUAGCCUCGGUGCUCCCUCUAGAUGUCUACGGUGGUCCUUCUUCAGCUGCCUUCAUCGUCAUGUUUUUUGCUUUCGUUCUUUUUUUGCAAGCUGGUCAGCGCCUUGGUUCUCAGGGUCUGUCCAUGUUCGAUGUUCUCCUCCUCUCUAAGUGGUCAUUGGUUUAGGUGGAGCUCAUACUUCUUUGGCUUGAACUCAUCAUCCCAACACUGAAGUUAGUCUCUAGACAUUCUGCUUUCAAGUGGAUGUGUUAUUUUGGUAUGUGAAAUGGACCUAGAGUGCUUAUUGUGGAGUUUUUGAUGCUUUCAGUCCGUUUUGUAUAGGCCUUUUAUGUAUGGCUCCUUGGUGGGUUCACGUCCGAAUAAAUGCUUGGUCGAGUUGAUGCGGGUGCUUGGCCUCUUGGUGCUUGGCUCCUUGGUGACUUUUUGUUCGUGUUGGCAGAUACUCAGGAAGUCUUGGGCUCUUUAAGAGCGGAUCAUCAUAGAAGCUAUAAUUAUCGAGUUCUCAUUCUCGUUGUAAUUGUGACUCUUUUUUUUGCGGCAAUCGGUGAAUGCAGAUUAGUUGAGGCCUCUUGAUAUUGGUUUCUGCCUGUUGUGUCUGUUCCAGCUUAGACUAAAUCGAAUUUAUGUUUAGAUUUUAUUUUUUCUUUCCUGUAUUUCUUUUUUCCAUUGUCCUUCUAUCAAAAACCUUGAAAAUUGGUAAUAAUAUUUUUACAUUUUUACAAAA